AACACCAUGAACCUGCUGUAUGCUGUUCUGCAGACAUAGUGUUGCCCAAGGCAGACAUGGUAUCUGCCUUCAUGGGACUUACAGUUGGAAGGAAGGACUGAUACCAUUUGUGACCAGCACUGAAAAUGUUUGUUCAAGAGUUUUCUCAUAGAGGCACCGGUUGACAUGCCAACAUUGAUUGGGGAAAUCUCACAAGGUUCUACCUCUAGAUGAAGAUCACUGUCUGCUGAGAGGGAUAAUCAGUGUUCUUCAGGACAAGCUCCCUGACAAACUAUCUAAUCCUAAGUGGAAGAAGAAGAGGAGGAAGAGGAAGAAGAAGAAGAAGAAGAAGAAGAAGAAGAAGAAGAAGAAGAAGAAGAAGAAGAAGAAGAGAUCUUUUCUUUUAUGAGAAGAAUGUAGCUUGAAUAUACUAUUGUAAAAACUGCCUUUCCAGUAGUUUUAAUUUCAUUUAAAUCUCAUAAACUCCAAGCAAAAUGAAAUUGCUGCUGGUAAGGAAGUAUCCAUUCUCACAUGGAACAUCUGUAAGAUUUAUGUUUUCUGUGCUCUGGGUCUUUAGUGUGAACUCCAGGUUGGUCUCUCUUGUUCCUAGCAGACAUUUGCAAAGACGAUUCCAUCUGUAGGUGGCUGUGAGUUAUUAUUGUUUUUGUUACUCUGCCCGGUGGAAGGAAGAUUAAAUCAAAUUUUGGGAAAAUAGAGUAUAAGGAGAAUAUAAUUCUACUUUUAGGCCAAUAUAAAGGAUAAUAAUUCAGUUCUCCACCCCCUGUGGGAGUUUUGACUCCUUCCCCUAUUUUAAUUUGAGAUACAUUUGAAAUUGUUAUGUACUCCCAGCGGACUGUCCUAUAGCUAGGAUGAACUUGUGUCUCUAUCAGGUUAAAUGGACAUAAAACAAAAGGGCAAAGAAACCUACGGUUUCCCAAUCAGUUAUACCCAAGGUGAUCAAACCAGAUCUUAGAGCCUGUUGCCGAAUUUGUUCAUGAAGCAAUGACAUUCUGUUCUCAAAUAUUUGCAUACAGAACAAAUAUUCACUCUUCCAAUUCCAUAGUUAAAAAAAUACAUUUCUUUCUAAAUCAUUUUCUGAUUUCCACUCCUAAGUGUUUACAAGAAAUAAAAACAAGCAUACAUCAGAAGGGAAGGAAUUAUUGAACAGCAGCUCCUUCCUGCUAGUUGUCUUUCUGCCCUGUGGUAGUUCACAUGCAAAGCAUGCUUCCCUUACAGAUGGAAGGCACCAGUCCUUGCCAUUAAAGAAACACAGCAGGACCCGGAGAGGAUUUGUUGAAGCUGAAAACUGACUAUAUAAUUUAGCUCAGAGGCUGGAGUGGCAUAAGUCUCAAAUAAAUCAGAAUGGCAGGUCCACAAAUGGAAGGCAAGUGGAGUGAAACAUGAGUUUUUUCCUCAUACGCCUUCGCUUGUUAGCACAAUUAAAACAAUAACCAGCUCCUUUAUUGCUUGUGAUUUAGCAGUUAGCCAAAGAAAGUGACAAUUUCAGGCUCGGAUAGACGGAGCCACAGAAAAAUGAAAACAGCAAGUUACUGUCAUAUUUUGCCAACAGAUACUGUCAGGCUCUAAGACAAAAACAAUCUUUCCACCAUGGUGAAUAUGUUUGCUUAACUUAGCUUCCUAGAUUCUUGCUGUUGAGAUGAAUCAGCUUCUUCCAGUGAUCUGGUCUUUGCUUUCUCUACUUGUUUACUGAGGGCAUGUAGAAUCUGCUGCCUUUAAAAGACAGCUUGUGUCCAAUAACAGAGCUGUUAGCUGCUGCCAAAGGUAAGUUCCCCUAUUGCUUCCCUCCUUUGGAAGCUUGCAUGGCACCUUCUCAUAACUGUAAAAGUCAGUACUUAAGGAGAAAGCA